ensembl:snRNA U6 U6 spliceosomal RNA
GUGCUUGCUUCCGCAGCACAUAUACUAAAAUUGGAAUGAUACAGAGAAGAUUAGCAUGGCCCCUGUGCAAGGAUGACACUCAAAUUCGUGAAGCAUUCCAUAUUAAA